GAAUAACCUUGGGAAACGGGGGCUAAUACCGCAUACGAUCCUUCGGGAUGAAAGUCUUCGGACGCUCGAGGAGGGGCCCGCGCCCGAUUAGCUAGUUGGUAGGGUAAAGGCCUACCAAGGCUCCGAUCGGUAGCCGGCCUGAGAGGGCACACGGCCACACUGGCACUGAGACACGGGCCAGACUCCUACGGGAGGCAGCAGUGGGGAAUCUUGGACAAUGGGGGAAACCCUGAUCCAGCGACGCCGCGUGACCGAUGAAGCCUUUCGGGGUGUAAAGGUCUUUCAGCGGGGACUAUCAUGAAGGUACCCGCAGAAGCAGCUGCGGCUAACUACGUGCCAGCAGCCGCGGUAAUACGUAGGCAGCAAGCGUUGUUCGGAAUUACUGGGCGUAAAGCGAGUGUAGGCGGUUUGCCAAGUCCGCUGUGAAAUCUCCCGGCUCAACUGGGAGGGUGCGGCGGAAACUGGCAGGCUCGAGUGCGGGAGAGGAGAGUGGAAUUCCUGGUGUAGCGGUGAAAUGCGUAGAUAUCAGGAGGAACACCGGUGGUGAAGACGGCUCUCUGGACCGCCACUGA
rnacentral:rRNA from 1 species